rnacentral:rRNA from 1 species
GACGAACGCUGGCGGCGUGCCUAAUACAUGCAAGUAGAACGCUGAAGAGAGGAGCUUGCUCUUCUUGGAUGAGUUGCGAACGGGUGAGUAACGCGUAGGUAACCUGCCUUGUAGCGGGGGAUAACUAUUGGAAACGAUAGCUAAUACCGCAUAGCAAUGGAUGACACAUGUCAUUUAUUUGAAAGGGGCAAUUGCUCCACUACAAGAUGGACCUGCGUUGUAUUAGCUAGUAGGUGAGGUAAUGGCUCACCUAGGCGACGAUACAUAGCCGACCUGAGAGGGUGAUCGGCCACACUGGGACUGAGACACGGCCCAGACUCCUACGGGAGGCAGCAGUAGGGAAUCUUCGGCAAUGGGGGCAACCCUGACCGAGCAACGCCGCGUGAGUGAAGAGGGUUUUCGGAUCGUAAAGCUCUGUUGUAAGUCAAGAACGGGUGUGAGAGUGGAAAGUUCACACUGUGACGGUAGCUUACCAGAAAGGGACGGCUAACUACGUG